rnacentral:lncRNA from 1 species
UGAGAGAAAGGUCAUGUAAGGUUAACACAGCCAGAGGCAGCUAUCUGCAGACCUAGGAGAGAGGCCUCAGAUGACACCAAACCUGCUGAUAUUUUGUUCUUGGACUUUCAACCUCCAGAACUGUGAGGAAAUCAAUUUCUGUUGUUUAAACCACCCAGUCUCUGAUAUUUGUUAUGCUAGCCCAAACAGACUAAAAUACACAAUGUGUCUCAUCACACGUGGUGGGCCGAAUGCUGAAAUGGCCUACUCAUAUCCCUUAGAAGAAACUGGAGGAAGAUUUGCUAUGAGGCACAUUCUUUACUGCUGGCUUUGAAGAUGGAUGGGGACAUGUUGUGAGGAAUGUGGGUGACCUCUAGGACUUUAGAGUGACCUACAUUUGACAGCAAGGAGACAGGGACUUCAGUUGUAUAACUGCAAGAAACUGAAUUUGGCCAUCAGUAGUGCAUAAGCUUGGAAGUAGAUUCUUCCCAGAGCUGCCGGAAAGGCCAAUCUUUGAUUUUAGCCUUGUUAGGCUCUGAGCAGUGAAUUUGGCUAUGCUAUCUCCAGACUUGGGACUGAUAUCACUGUGAACUUAUAAACUGGUAAUAUCUUCAGGUGCUAUUUGUAGUAAUUGGUUACUCAGAAAUGUCAAAUAAGUACAUUAUAAAUUUUGAACAUUAAGUUGAGACAAAUUUGCAGUGAUGUGUGGCACAAAGGACAAAGCAAAGGAAGGAGAUGUUAACAGUAAGCAAACUUGGGUAAAAACUGGCCACAUAAGGAUUCCUUCGAUUAUUUUUAUUUUUGUAACUUUUGCAAAUUCGAGUAUUUCUGAAUAAAAACAUUCAAAAUAAAAUAAUAGUGAUUGGCAGUUGUUGGGCAAGAGUUAAUUUAUCCAAAAUAUAAAUUUGUUCUUUUUCUGGAAAUCUAAGAUUGAUAUGAUUUGAUUGGAUAAUAGCUAAUUGCUAGCAUUCAUUAAAUUCUAACUAUGACCUAAAUACUAUUCUAAAUACUUCAUGUACAUGAACUCACUUUAGUGUUGCAACAAACUGGAGAGGGAAUUACUCUUUUAUGCCCAACUUACAGCUUAGUAUACUGAGAGGUUAAGUAAAACAUCCCAAGUCAUACAACUCCUAAUCAGAAUAUCUGAUUCUAGAGUCACAUACUAUGAUCUUUCAAGUUAGUACUAUGCUUGUUAUCCUUUUUGACU